AUGACACUAUUGUCUCCGUCGCACACAUCCGGGAACUUUUCUCGCUUUGGGCUCUUGUGCAUGACUUCCGUCUUGACGAUCACGUUGAGGACGACAUUGUUUGGAAACAUGCUGAUGAUGGGCAGUACUCGGCGGCCACAGCAUAUAGACGCAAUUCCUUGGCCUGACGCACUCGCCCAUUCACCACAUUGUUUGGAGAGCUUGGGCCCCCCUAAGGUUAAAUUCUUCGCAUGGUUGACCUUGCAAGACCGGAACUGGACCGCCGACCGGUUGGAGCGGCGUGGUUGGGAUAAUUGUGGGCUUUGCCCGCUUUGCAAACAUGAGCAAGAAUCGGGCAUCCACCUCAUCGUCAAGUGCCGCUUCUCCAUUAGGCUCUGGCGAUCGGUCAUCGACAAGUUUGGUCUUGUGCACAUGGACACCUCCAAUUGGCACCUUGAGGAUUCCCUCAUGCAAUGGUGGGAUAGAAGGACCGACAUGUGA
rnacentral:rRNA from 1 species